AGUGAACGCUGGCGGUAGGCCUAACACAUGCAAGUCGAACGGCAGCACAGUAAGAGCUUGCUCUUACGGGUGUCGAGUGGCGGACGGGUGAGGAAUACAUCGGAAUCUACUUUUUCGUGGGGGAUAACGUAGGGAAACUUACGCUAAUACCGCAUACGACCUACGGGUGAAAGCAGGGGAUCUUCGGAACUUGCGCGAUUGAAUGAGCCGAUGUCGGAUUAGCUAGUUGGCGGGGUAAAGGCCCACCAAGGCGACGAUCCGUAGCUGGUCUGAGAGGAUGAUCAGCCACACUGGCACUGAGACACGGUCCAGACUCCGACGGGAGGCAGCAGUGGGGAAUGUUGGACAAUGGGCGCAAGCCUGAGCCAGCCAUACCGCGUGGGUGAAGAAGGCCUUCGGGUUGUAAAGCCCUUUUGUUGGGAAAGAAAAGCAGCAGGUUAAGACCCCGCUGUUCUGACGGUACCCAAAGAAUAAGCACCGGCUAACUUCGUG
rnacentral:rRNA from 1 species